rnacentral:rRNA from 1 species
GACGAACGCUGGCGGCGUGCCUAAUACGUGCAAGUCGAGCGCAGGAAACUGACGGAACUCUUCGGAGGGAAGGCAGUGGAAUGAGCGGCGGACGGGUGAGUAACACGUAAGGAACCUGCCUCAAGGAUUGGGAUAACUCCGAGAAAUCGGAGCUAAUACCGGAUAGUUCAACGGACCGCAUGGUCCGCUGAUGAAAGGCGCUUCGGCGUCACCUUGAGAUGGCCUUGCGGUGCAUUAGCUAGUUGGUGGGGUAACGGCCCACCAAGGCGACGAUGCAUAGCCGAGCUGAGAGGGUGAUCGGCCACACUGGGACUGAGACACGGCCCAGACUCCUACGGGAGGCAGCAGUAGGGAAUCUUCCACAAUGGACGAAAGUCUGAUGGAGCAACGCCGCGUGAGUGAUGAAGGUUUUCGGAUCGUAAAACUCUGUUGUAAGGGAAGAACACGUACGAGAGGAAAUGCUCGUACCUUGACGGUACCUUACGAGAAAGCCACGGCUAACUACGUGCCAGCCGCCGCAGUAACAC